GAAGCUGGAUUCGCUAGUAAUCGCGCAUCAGCCAUGGCGCGGUGAAUACGUUCCCGGGCCUUGUACACACCGCCCGUCAAGCCAUGGAAGCCGGGGGCGCUUGAAGUGCGUUGCCGCAAGGCGCGCCCUAGAGCGAAACCGGUGACCGGGGCUAAGUCGUAACAAGGUAGC
rnacentral:rRNA from 1 species